GAUGAACGCUGGCGGCGUGCUUAACACAUGCAAGUCGAACGGAAAGGCUCCUGCUUGCAGGGGUACUCGAGUGGCGAACGGGUGAGUAACACGUGGGUGAUCUGCCCUGCACUUCGGGAUAAGCCUGGGAAACUGGGUCUAAUACCGGAUAGGACGAUGGUUUGGAUGCCAUUGUGGAAAGUUUUUUCGGUGUGGGAUGAGCUCGCGGCCUAUCAGCUUGUUGGUGGGGUAAUGGCCUACCAAGGCGUCGACGGGUAGCCGGCCUGAGAGGGUGUACGGCCACCUUGGGACUGCGAUACGGCCCAGACUCCUACGGGAGGCAGCAGUGGGGAAUAUUGCACAAUGGGCGCAAGCCUGAUGCAGCGACGCCGCGUGGGGGAUGACGGCCUUCGGGUUGUAAACUCCUUUCGCUAGGGACGAAGCGCAAGUGACGGUACCUGGAGAAGAAGCACCGGCUAACUACGUG
rnacentral:rRNA from 1 species